rnacentral:rRNA from 2 species
UGGGGGAUAUUGCACAAUGGGCGAAAGCCUGAUGCAGCGACGCCGCGUGAGGGAAGACGGUCUUCGGAUUGUAAACCUCUGUCUUCGGGGACGAAGUAUGACGGUACCCGAGGAGGAAGCUACGGCUAACUACGUGCCAGCAGACGCGGUAAUACGUAGGUGGCAAGCGUUGUCCGGAAUUACUGGGUGUAAAGGGAGCGUAGGCGGGAGCGCAAGUUGAAUGUUAAAUCUAUCGGCUCAACCGGUAGCCGCGUUCAAAACUGCGUUUCUUGAGUGAAGUAGAGGUUGGCGGAAUUCCUAGUGUAGCGGUGAAAUGCGUAGAUAUUAGGAGGAACACCAGUGGCGAAGGCGGCCAACUGGGCUUUUACUGACGCUGAAGCUCGAAAGCGUGGGGAGCAAACAGG